UCCAGCGAUCAUACCAGCGUUAAUGCACCGGAUCCCAUCAGAACUCCACAGUUAAGCGCUCUUGGGCUAGAGUAGUACUGGGAUGGGUGACCUCCCGGGAAUUGUAAUUUUAUCUCUUUAA
rnacentral:rRNA from 1 species